AUCUCAUUUCUGAACUUACAUCAAUUGACUUACGAAUACUCACACGUAUGAAAAACAUAGGGUGUAACAAAACGAAAAUGUUCUUCAUGAUCGCCUACCCAUUUUUGCUAUCGCGAUUCAAUAGUUCCCAUGCAGCAAAAUAGUAAUGGUACAACUUCUUAUCCUUGUGAUGUCUGAUCAAUUUCUUUCGGUUAAAUACCUCAUAAUGCAAUGCCCUAAGUGUCUGUACAAGUAUUUAACAUAUUUACUCCUUUUGUAGGAACUUUGAGCUUGAAAAUGGCUUCGACAUCAAAUGGAAAUGUUUAAGAAAAUGCCGAACAAGUUUCCCAAG
rnacentral:lncRNA from 1 species